UAAAAAAGUAAUAGGAAUGUGAUGUGCAAAAUAUACUAAGGCCUCAACUUAUUUCUUACAACAUAAAUAAAAUAAAUAAUUGCUGAAUUCCAUGAGUGUAUAAAAAGCUGAGCUAUAGAUAAUGUCUCUUUCUGUAUAAAAGAAGAAUCAGGGGUUUGUAUCUGAAUUUUUAGGUCUAGCUUUAUAAAUAAAGCACUGUAGGUCAUGUACUAUAUUAUGGCUUGAUGCUGUAUGGGAGACCUAGGGACUGUGUUGCUCUGUGAAACUGCCAAAGUAUGAAGGCAUGGGGACCCAGGCUAUGAUUCCAGGAAACUGUCAUCAGAAACAUCUGUCAAGCCCACCCGAGAGGUCCAGUCCACCCUCCUUAUAGUUUCUACCUCUGAGCUCUUGCUCAGUUCUUAAGUUUAUGAAUAUUUCUUACUCAGCGCUCAGUAUCUUCUGUGUAAACACUGCUGUGCCUGAGAACUACCAUACUGCAGGCACUGGUUAGUUCUGGCCACUUCAGAUAAACUGGUUUGUUCUGUCUCCUUCUGUAUGUAUAUACAGAUGCAAGCAGACAAAUCCAUUAAUUUCUCAACCUCCUCCCUUUUUUAUCAAAACACAGGGCUGCGGUGUAAAAGACACAUGGGUUACACAAGUCUCAGGUUGUUGGUUCCUUUGUUUUUUCUGGAGGUAGGUGGAGGAGUUAUAGAAACAGAAGGAGGUGGAAUAGUAGAUGCAACAAGAAAGAAGCAUCACUGGUGUCAAAGCAGGACACAGUGGGAUGAAGCAAUUGUAUUUUUCAGAGUAUCUCCUCUAACAUGACAUAACAUCUGGAAAUGAGAGAGAAAUGCCAGGGCAGUAGGUUGUAAAAUAAAUCAAUAAAAACCCUUUGGGGGAGAAUGUUGCGCAUUUGAUAUAUUUUUUAAAGUAGAGGUACCAAGCUUGGUUGCCAGUGAAAUGACUUGGAAAAGGUUCGUCUGAAGGCUGCAACUUUGAAGAUUCUGAAGUGGACAUGUCAGACCAACUGCAUCCAUAGGGGGUCUGAUUUAUGAGCAUCCAUCAAGUACAGUCAUUCCAACUUCAGUGUCAUCUCUGGGUAUCAUCAGUAGUACUGCAGCUAGACCCACAUCAGUCAGUAAAUUACCUCUAUCAAAAAAACCUUCAUUGAGUUGAAACCAGAGCUGAGGUCAUAAUGGGGACUAACAAAUUCCAGCAAGAAUGCAUACCUAUUUGGUUAAUUUUCUCAACAAAAUCUCUGUUUUCAAACUUUGUUAACAAUGUUAAAUAAUUGAAUUGGUUCAAUGAUUUAAGGCCAGGUUAUGCUACAUGGCAGAUGGACAUUGUUGGACGGUUGCUGGAUGCUGUUUGAUGGAAAUUGAACAGCAUAUAAAACCACAACGAAACUCUUUGUCUUGAUGGGUUGAGCAAUGUACACAACAGAAGAUGGGAUUGUUCAUCUUCCAGAAAUUCCUGAUAUACCAGGAAAUACCCUAAGCACAAUACUUUAAAAGAAUUAAAACUAGAACAUAUAAUGGAUUGUGAACAAAAAUGUAAAUGGCAGGAGCUAACUUUUCCUUGUGGACAAGGCUACCAAUGAAGCCAAGUUGAACAUAAUGAAGGAACCUGUAAUUUAUGAGUGCAGUGUUCAGUUGCAUUUUUUUUGUCAGGCUGACAUACUCUGUGCAUAAAGGAUCAUCUUGAAAUUGCAAGAUACCUUACAACAAUUUUUCCUUCAGCUUUGUGAAGGAAGCAAGAGGAGUCAAACUACUCUUAUCUCCAAGAUACACAGUGAAAUUCAGUGGUUACUUGCUUUGAGUCUUUUAAAAAAAACCUGACCUAUUUUGAUGACUACGGAAAAAAUUGUAAUGCAAUAGAUGGAAUUCACAAUGGAAGAAGUCAACAUAAUGAAGCAGAAUGUAGAAAUGCUGACCCUGUUGAAACCUAUGUCCAUAGCCUUGGACAAACUAUGGAAAGAUUUACUGCUGUAUUGCAAUGCUGUUGAUUUGAAAUUUGGAAAGCACUUCAAGAGACAUCAAAGAAAGAAAUAUCCAACAACAAAGUUAAACUGCAAGCAGUAAAGAAUUAGAUUAAGCACUUCACCGUACUUUCUUGCCAAUACCCUCAACUGGUAGCGCCAGGAUUGUUGCAUGACUGCUGGAGAAAAAAGAUACAGCUAUAUGGGGUAUCUAAUUAUCUCCCACCAGUAAUGCCAGCCCUGGCAAACUUCAGGAUUGGGGGUGAAUCGCUUGAGCAGUGUGUGGAUUUUUUUUGUUUGUUUUUUAAGAGGCUUGUUGCACUGAACCCCUGGAAGCCACCAGGUAAGCAGCUGGGACUGGAACUGAAUAUUUCAGCAAACAAGGCUUUGAAAGCAAGUAGCCUCAUCUGCAGGCAAAGUAAAUGUAUUCUUCACUUGGACUCUCAUCUUCAAAAGUGCAAGAUUAAUUGGAAGUUAAAGAAGCAGGAAAAUGUCUGUCUUCCGCAACUCUGGUGGGGGAGAAGGGUGCAAAAUAGGAGGAGGAGGAGAUAAGAUCUGCUAAUUCUUUAAAAGUUUCAAGGGUGGCCGAAGUAACUCAAACAGCUUCAUUUUCAAGACAGUCGAGGGACUAGGAAGCUAGUUUACAGGCACUUUCACUUGGUCAUAGUUGAAACUUAUUUUUCCCCCAGGUUAACUUUUUAAAUGCAUUUAUUUUGCUGAUUGCAGUUAAUACUUGUAAAUGUGAAAUAUCUUUUGAUUAAGGGAAGUUUUAUGUAUCUGAAACAUUUUAAGGAUUAAACAGCUUGUUAAUAAAGAAAUGUGUGCUAUUCAGUGUGUUUUACUUAAAUUUCAGUUACCAUACUAAUGUAGUUGUUUCACACACCAUGAUCAAUAUAUCUGGGAAAGGAGCAAUAGAUCAUUAGCUAUUUUCUAACUUGCUGAGAACACUAAGUCCUGAUUUAUUUUUCAACACCUGGAGGAAAAAUCUGCUAUGUGUGCAGGCUGUGGGG